rnacentral:rRNA from 1 species
UACAGAGGUGGCAAGCGUUGUUCGGAAUUACUGGGCGUAAAGAGCGUGUAGGCGGCCACACAGGUCCGUUGUGAAAACUGGAGGCUUAACCUCCAGACGUCGAUGGAAACCGUAUGGCUAGAGUCCGGAAGAGGAGAGUGGAAUUCCUGGUGUAGCGGUGAAAUGCGCAGAUAUCAGGAAGAACACCCGUGGCGAAGGCGGCUCUCUGGGACGGUACUGACGCUGAGACGCGAAAGCGUGGGGAGCGAACAGG